UACGGGGGGGGCAAGCGUUGUUCGGAAUUACUGGGCGUAAAGGGCUCGUAGGCGGCCAACUAAGUCAGACGUGAAAUCCCUCGGCUUAACCGGGGAACUGCGUCUGAUACUGGAUGGCUUGAGGUUGGGAGAGGGAUGCGGAAUUCCAGGUGUAGAGGUGAAAUUCGUAGAUAUUCGGAGGAACGCCGGUGGCGAAGGCGGCCACCUGGUCCGGUACUGACGCUCAAGCGCGAAAGCGUGGGGAGCAAACAGG
rnacentral:rRNA from 1 species